AUGCAACACCGUUCUGUUACAAAUACAGGUAUUGUAAUUGUUUUUAUUCUUGGAGUGAACCAGCCUUUAACCUUUUAACACCACUUACCAGUGGCCUGUAGCACGAAGCCGGUUCCAGUUCUUACCCAGAGCUGUUUGAUGGCCUCUUGGAGACAGGGAUUAUCUUUGUCAGAAAUUUUUGAUGACCCCCUAUCCUAAUCCCGAGACAAGGUCCGAAGAGCAGUUCAAUGCAGCUCACAGCAGAACCAGGGGCAGAACUGAAAACACUUUUGGGAUCCUGAAGGCAAGAUUCAAUUGUCUUCAUGGCCUGAGAGUAACACCAACAACAAGCAUCCCAGAUAGUGGCUGCUUGUGCAAUCCUGCACAAUGUAGCCAAUAUCAGAAAAGAGAGAGUGCCAACAAACCCCCAUCUCCCCCCUGAUGAAACGGACCCCAUGAGAUUGGACCAUCCAGAUGGAAAAGCCAUCAGAGAUGCAAUUAAAGCACAGUAUGUCAGUUAAUUUGUAUUAAAAGCACAGUACACAUA